CUUCUGGAUAUAUUUCUCUUAUUAAUGAAUAAAACACUGAUUGGUUGAUUGUCCAGACAGGAAAUGGCAUAGCUGGGAAGAAUCAGGAUAUAAGCAGGGACAAACAGGAAAUCUCUCUCUUUUCUGUGGAGAUGCUGAGCAGUCAUCAUGUAUCAGGCAAAGGAGUAGCAGGUCCAGCACUUCCCGAUUCCAUCCAUAUGCUAGAUGGUCCUGUGCCAACAACACUCAACAUCAAGUGCAACUCAACUGAUCUUUGUGGGCAAGCAGAAGUCUGUUUCCCUCCCUUGCCAUCAGCAUCCAGAAAUGUUCGGUCUAAGCCCCAGAACUUCUACCAACAACAACAAAAAGCAACAUCUCUACAGUGGAAAGCCUGGAAGGCUACACUGCCAGGGCUGGGCUGCCAGCAGAAGGGGUGGCCUGGAUUAAAGCUGUGUCUUCAUAUCUCAAAAGAUCAGGAUUAAAAGCGGUCUUCCUGCUUCAACUGAUUUAAUCAGGAAAGAAAUCGCUCACAGGGACUGGAAACAGAGUCAAGUAACUUGUCCAGGCUCCUGAGUGGCCAGGAGAGGCCCAUUUACAUUUGGCCACUGAUCAUCAAAGGGAAGAGGCUGCCCUCCAGAUCCUCAACUUCUGCAGAGUCAGCUCAAUCCAUUGGCAGAACUGCCCAGCUGUGCCCAACACAUGGCUGGACUGGAGUCAGUACAGCUGUUGCCCACUUCCUAAAUCCUGGGGUCCUGGAAGAGAGGCUGCUUGUUAGCCUGUGAGUGUUCUUAGAAUCAAGUGAUAGAAAAGCACGUUAAAGAUUGAUUGAUUGAUUGAUUGAUUGAUUGAGUUAGUAGUGUGUGUGCCUGUGUGUGGAGGCCAGGGAACUUCUUGGAGUUGUUCUUUCCCUCUACAAUAUGAGUCUUGGGGAUUGAACUCUUGCUGUCGCAGCAAUCACCUUUACCCACUGAACCCUCUCAUCAGCCCUGGAAAAGCAGCGCUUUUAGUAGGAGGAGCUGGGGGUGGGGUGGCGAUCCUGGUGUCUUCUACAAACAGACUAUCAGACUGCAUCUAGGCUCCCAGGAGGAAGGAAUUCAAAUCAGUCAUUUUCUAUGGAGCUUAUGACUCUCUCUCUCUCUCUCUCUCUCUCUCUCUCUCUCUCUCUCUCUCUCUGUGUGUGUGUGUGUGUGUGUGUGUGUGUGUCCCUUAUGUGUUGGUAAUGCUGAGUCAGAGGGUUUACAUGGCAGAAGGACAUUUCAGGUGCUGUAAAAGGAAAGAAUGGAAUAAAAGAACUAUCACUUGACCUUCAAAUAGGGAGAAGAGUGUUCUAAAGAAACUUUUUGUUGGGGAGUCAGGGAAGGAUCGUUUGUGCUAUUGGACCAGUGUUCUGUGAUCAGAAAGCCCAACAAAAUGCAAAGCUUUUUUUUUUUUUUUUUUUUUAAAUUUCACUCCUCUGUCUGUUCUCUCUCUUUGCUCCCCAUUCCUCUCAAUAGAGUCUUGGGAUGUAGCCCAGGAUGCCUUCCAACUCUCUAUCCACCCAUCUCAAGUACUUGGAUUAUGGACUCGUACCACCAUGCUUGACAGAAUUCAUUUUGCAAAUAUUUCUGUCUUUCUUUUGUUUUUGUUUUUGUUUUUGUUUUUAAUUUUUCCCCAUUUUUUAUUUGAAUUAGAAAUAAGAUUGUUUUACAUGUUAAUCCCAGUUUCUUCUCCCUCCCCACAAAUAUUUCUAGGUACAAUGUAUGUGUCAAAAAUUGUUCUGAGUUACUGGAGAUGAGAGAGUGCAUUGGCUGGGACCCCUUCCCUAGCAUCUGUGUAAGUUAAGCAUAACGGGUCUCUAAGAUAUGUCAGCAUGUAUAUGCUAGAGAGCCAAUCUCCUUUAACUUUGAGCAAAGCUGUUCACAUAACCGAGUGGCGUGGAUACCUUGAUGGCUGUGAAUGGAGGAGGUGGUCAGGAGAGUAGGGCAGUAUCUUUAAACCUUCAUGCUGUCCUUCCUGUGCCAGCAUGGAAACGUGAAGUUGUCACCAAGAGAAGAUGGCCUUAGCUUUAUUCUGUAAGCAAGCUGAUGAGCUAAUGGCAAAGAUAACGAAGCAUCAGCACCACUCUCCUUUCUCUCUCCUUCCUGGCCCUUUCUCAGUUCUCUUUGCUAACCUGCCUUCACUUUUUUUUUUUUUUAAUUUCUCUUCAUUCCACAGUAUCUGUCUAGGGCCCAUUAACCAGGAUAUGGCUAUACAUAAUUUCUGCACACCUGUUAUCUCCUAAGUAUCCAAGCUCAACUCUGUCCUCAGUACUGGCGUGGUCUGGUUUCCCAAUAAGUCUCCCAAGUAGACUCUUCUUGAAUGUACCCUCCAACUGAUAGCACUGAAACCCUUUUGCAGGGGUGUCUUUUAUUGAUGAAUUAAUGUCCCAAGUCCUUCACAUCCACAUGCCCACCUGUGGCUGGCUUUUGCGAGCUUCUCUGUCUUUAUCUCCUGUCACUCUGAACUGAGUUGCCUUCUUCAGAGUGUCCUGGCUGCUUCCCCCACAGUAGAGAGCCUCAGGGCCCUUGAUCUGCACAGGUCCACUUCUCAGCCAUUCCUUCAGAACUCAGUUCAAAUGUGACUGUCCCAACAGUGCCCUCUUGUAGCCCCAGAGUUCUAAGGACACCCCUCCACCACUGUUUGAGUCGUGGCACCUGCCAGUUCUGUUUUCUUCUGGUUUUCCUUCUUACUAGUCAGUUCUCAUGACUGGAAGCCUCAUUGAGGCUAACGCUUCUUCAUAUUAAUUUAAAUUUUUCUGUGGCUUCUCUCUCUGUAUUGGACCAAGGUUGUUGUGUAUGGGAUUGUGCCCAGACUCUGGUUACAUGGAGUGAUAGUCAAUCUUCACUGUUAGUGAGACUAUAUUUAGAAUUUUCUGGAAGACCCACUUCUGGAUUCAUCUGUGGGUGUUUCCAGAGAGACUGAGGUGGGAAGACCCACCUUGAUCAUGGCACCAUCCCACCAACUGGGGACCAAGGCCAAACAAACAGGAAAAAGGAGAAGCUGGAAGACAGCCAUCAUUUCUAGAUCUCUGCUUCCUGGUUCACUGAGAUGUGAACAAACAGCUCCCCAGUUCUGCUGCUAAUCCAUGAACAGUUCUGCUGUGCCCCGAACAUGAUAGUCAACACCUUCAAACCAUGACCCCAAAUAAAUCCAUCCUAUCGUAAACUGCUUCUUGUCAUGUGUUAGGUCACAGCAACAACAACAACAACAACAAAAAACUAGCAACCUGCCCAUCAAGAACAAAAAACCUAGCACACCUGCCCAUCAAGAACAACAACAAAAAAAAACCCUAGCACACCUGCCCAUCAAGAAGAAAAAACCCUAGCACACCUGCCCAUCAAGAAGAAAAACACUAGCACACCUGCCCAUCAAGAAGGUGCUUGGAAGCAUUUGGGUCAUAGGUACUUUUCUAAGUUUGUGCAAUGAACACAUUACUUUCGUAAUCAGAAAUGUGUGUGUGUGUCCACCAGCCAGCUCCCAAAUCAUGACACAAAGACUUUUUGACUUAUUAUUAAUAAUUAUGAAUGCUUAGCCUUAUAUUAUGCUUGUCUCUCUAGCUCUUUUAGCUUAAAUUAACUUAUUUCUCUUCAUUUACAUUUUGCCCCAGGGAUUUUUGCUUUUCUUUCAUUCUGUAUGUCCUGCACUAUGUCUGGCUGACUGGUGACUGCCUGCCUGCCUAGCUGGCUGGCUGGCUGGCUGGAUGGCUGGCUGGCUGGCUGGAUGGAUGGAUGGAUGGAGGUGUCUCCCUCUCUUCCUCCUCUCUUCUCAUUCUUUCUAAGCCUGGACUCCUCCUACUUACUCUCUCUGCACACCAGCUCUGCCCUUUACUGCCUACUGUUCAGCUUUUUAUUAGACCAAUUAGGUGCCUUAGGCAGGCAAAGUAACCCAUCUUUACGUUGUUAA
ensembl:lncRNA